rnacentral:lncRNA from 1 species
AUCAUCUCCCAGUUCUGCUCCUCAGACCCUGCCCUUUUCUGCGCUUCACUGUUAAACAUUCUCCCUUCUCACUGACUCUUUAGAUAAAUGGAGGCAACAGUAGUUAAUGAACAUCUGGAAGAGGCUGAGGAAAAAAAAAAAACAGUGGCAGUCUGGAAUUUUCCUGGAGCUCAUUGUGGGACAAAACCAAGCAGCAUGAAUAAAAUCUUCAUCAUUCACACACUUCUGUGAUUUUACAGCAUGGCAGGGACAGACACACAAGUGUGUGUGGCCUGAGUGCUUCUUGAACUCAAGGAUUCCUGUGCCAGGAUCCGUAGCUGAGCCCAACAUUUCGCUGUGACUUCAUGGCAGUCAAAGAGGGAUGAUGAUUUAUGUGUCUGUUGUUAUCUGACAUUUUAAGAAGUCACCAGUUCUUUAGGAGAUGAAUUCGUUCUCCAGUAUAAAAGUGUAAGAGAAGCUGAUCCCGGGAUACUGAAAAGCUAAGGCAGGACUCAACAUUUUUCUGUUUUCAAACGUCAUUGCCAAGAAGCCCUCAAUUUCAAAUGAGUCACUGACCCAGUAAAUUACCUAAUGCGUCUACAGCUCCACCCACCUUCGCAGUCUCAGAAUGCUCAAGUGGAAAACGUUGCUUGGGGCAGGUGACUCCUUAGGACUUGGAAAUGAGGGAAAUGUGGUUGCUUCCACCAUAAAAUCGGAAAUUCCAAGGGGGCACAAUAGAGAUGUGCCAAUCUGGGGAAAGACUCUUAGGCUGGUUAAAGGCCCUAAUAACCUAAUAGAAGAUGUUGGCUUAUCUAAAUUAUGUGUCACUGUAAUAUGGGGGUUGGUUGGCAAAAAAGGACCAAAAUAGUAGAGUCUGAAAGGCUGGGGCUGGUGGUGCCCUUGUGGACAGGGUGCAGGGGCUUCACUGGCAGGUGUACCCACCAACUAUAGAAAUGAAGAAAUUGGGCAGUUAGAGCCAUAUGUUACUAAACAUUCAAAUGAUAACUUCCCUUUCUCUGAAUCUAUGCUCAUCAAGAAAUAUUAUGUGAUUGACUUUCCAAAUCUUCAGGGAAAAUAAGGUAGGUCUUAUGAAUUCUGGGCCCACUUGUCAGUUUUAUUUCUUAUGGAAACAAAUAUAUUGGAAUUUCCAUUACUAGAAUUCAAUGUCUUAUCAGCAUUUUCCCCAAAUCUGAUC